rnacentral:rRNA from 1 species
UCAGGUUAAUCCAGGCAUUAGGAUAGGCUUGUCUCAAAGAUUAAGGCAUACAUGUGUAAAUACACACGAUCAGUAUUUUAAGACUAUGAAUGGCUCAUUAAAUCAGUAAUGGUUCCUUUGAUUGCUCCAUCUGUUUUUUAUGUACAUGCGGUCUAGAAUAAAUACACAACAGUGAGUGCUGAUCUCCCAAGCAUUUAUCAGACUACAAUCAAGCUAUGGUCACCAGAGCCCUCCUAUGACUCUAGCUAUCCUCAACCGAUUGUACCUCCCUCGGACAGCAAUCACACAUUUGCAUGUCUGCCCUCACAGCUUUCACUACCAUUUCCUAGGUCUACCAUGAUCACCAUGGGCAACAGUGCCACCAGGGCUCAUUUUCCUACAGGUAGACAGAGAAGCAGCUACCACUUCAAAGGAAGCCAGAAGGAGCACAGGUCUUUGACUCAGGGUGGUACUGACAAAAUAUAAUAAGACAGGGCUCUAUUGAGACUAUGUCGUUGGAAUGAGUAUGUCCUAAAAUAUUUAACAAUGAUCCAUUGGACAGCAGCAAUUCUGAUACCAGCAGUUGAAGUAUAUCUUUCUCCAAUAAUGUACAUCUGCUGCAGUUAGGAAGCACAUAGUUGAUCUUGGGAUUGAGCUGGUGGUAUACCGCUAGGCGAACUAUUGCCUGCUCCAGCCCUCUCUUGUUGCUUUGGACUGAAUGUCAUGGAGUUUUCACCCAUUUACUUUGAGACUAUUAGUGAUGAAAGCAGUGCAGCUGGAUAAAUACUGCAGAUAUGACUAAUGGAGUUGAUCUCUAGUUCGAUUUUGUUGGAUUUCAGAAAUGGAGCCAUGGUUAAGAGGAACGACCAUGUGCAUUCAUAUUGUGCCACUGGAGGUGAAAUUCUUGGACCAGCACAAGGUAAACCUAAGCAAAACGGUAGAGGUUUGAAGAUGAUCGAAUACUGUCUUUCAAUCACUUAUAAUGAUGAAUAAUGAUCUGGGCACUUUAUUCCCAUGACCUGCUGCACAACGUCUGGGAAACCAAGGUCUCUGUUUUCCAGGAGGAGUGUGGUUACAAAGUUGAAACCUAAUGGAAUUGAUGGAAGGGCACCACCAGCUUUGGAGUAUGUAUCCUAAAAAGACACAUUGACUCACAUUGGGAAUGGUCACACAGAUUGGACAUGGAAAGGACUAACAGAUUGAUAGCAUUUGCUUGAUUCAGAAGGUGGUGGUGCAUGGCGAUCCUUAGUUGGUGCGCUGAUUUGUCUGGUUCAUUCUGAUAAAGAAUCAGACUCCUCUCUCCAAACUAACUAUACGACACCCAUGUGCCAGUGUGCACUCUCUAUCUUCUGAUCCAGCUAAGUUUUCAUCGCCAGUGGCACC